rnacentral:tRNA from 1 species
GUAGAUGUAGGUUAAAUUUUUAAACUUUUAGUUUUCAAAACUGAAGAUUUUGUUCUAUU